rnacentral:rRNA from 1 species
CCUACGGGAGGCAGCAGUGAGGAAUAUUGGUCAAUGGGCGCGAGCCUGAACCAGCCAAGCAGCGUGAAGGAUGACUGCCCUCCGGGUUGUAAACUUCUUUUGUAAAGGAAUAAAGUGAGGCACGUGUGCCUUUUUGUAUGUACUUUAUGAAUAAAGAUCGGCUAACUCCGUGCCAGCAGCCGCGGUAAUACGGAGGAGCCGAGCGUUAUCCGGAUUUAUUGGGUUUAACGGGAGCGUAGAUGGGUGGUUAAGUCAGUUGUGAAAGUUUGCGGCUCAACCGUAAAAUUGCAAUGGAUACUGGCAGUCUUGAGUACAGGUGAGGUAGGCGGAAUUCGUGGUGUAGCGGUGAAAUGCGUAGAUAUCACGAAGAACACCGAUUGCGAAGGCAGCUUACUAAACUGCCACUGACAUUGAGGCUCGAAAGUGUGGGUAUCAAACAGGAUUAGAUACCCUUGUAGUC